CAGUCUGGUGCACCGGCCUCCUGUGGGUCCGAAUUUCAUCCUGAAGGCAGCUGCGGCUUCUGUCUGAGGAUCUACGAUGGGUACAAAGGAUAGCCGACUUCCUCUGGUCAUCUCACGAGCAGGCGUUUGGUGAGCGGCGACUCCGGUCGUCCGGGAAUGCAGACUUUCCGGAAGACGAGCCCUCCCCCCAGCCCUACUUAGCCCGCCUCUCUAGGAUUUAGGCGCGCUCCUCUCUCCCUCCUAGUUUCGCCCCUCCCCCUGCUCGGUGCUUUUGCGCAGGCGCUUUUGGCGGGCGGCGGCUGUGGAGUUGGCGGGUCGGCGCUUGCGCGCUGGGGUACCCCGCGGUUCUCUCCUGGGGAACCCAAGGUGUGGGGCCGCGUACCUCCAGGUGCGGUGGGCUGUCUCACCCGCCUGUUGGCGGGAGAUCUGAACCUGGGUCUCCCUGGAGCCUUCCGGUGGGCGUGAGGCUAGGACAGAGUUACUUUUUUCAUGUAAGCGUAUUUAUUUGUUUCCAGCCACAGUUCCCCAGCUACCAUUAUUUUGUUACGGACGUUAAGCUUAUUAAAUUUAUAUCUCCAGUACUCUCUUGGGUUUCAUUGCUUUUCCUCAAGGGCCGAGCGCCAGAAUGAAGGAGUCAAUCAAUCCAUCAGUCAUCCUGCCUUGGGAGUUCUAAUUCCCACACCCAGGGGCCACAAACUCCUGGCCAUGAUUGUCUAGUGAUGGGGUGAAGGAUGAAAGUAUUAAUUAUUAAGUCUUCGAUGACAAGUUGUAUCAUAUUUUUGUCAUGCUAUACUUUCAUUGUGCGCUUAAGUGAUGGCAGUGCAAUCUCGACCUACCUUUGGGUCACAACGCAGUGAAGUCACAGGAUGUAAGUCCGAAUUCCCGUCUUUUGCAGUUUUCCCUCUUUCGCUUUUCUUCAGCCUUAGGGAGAGUUAAUACUUGGCUUGUGGUAUGUGAAGCAGGUCUGGGAACCAGAUGAAUCAUGCCAGUGCUGAGUGGAUCCUGUCUUUAUGUGAAGCUUUUUUUUUUAUUUUUUAGAUUGUUUCAUUAAAUUAGUAUUUUUCUUGAUGGUUUAAAUUUUUGGCAUCCCUUUAAAUUUUGCACCUGAGUCAUUUGUCUCUCACUGGAGCCUGGUCCUCGUGCUAGGUUUGGACUUACAGAAUUGAAAGGACAAAGUCUUGACUUUUGGGGGGUUUACAUUCUAAUGGGAAAGAAAUUGGCAAUUAAUUCAUUUCAUUAAAUUAAAGAGGCAUAUAAAACAAUUUAAAAGGGUAGAGAAUAGGUAUAAGGGGCUUGGUUAAGGACUUUGGGUGGGUGGUCAGAAAGGUUUCUGAGGCUUUGGGCUAAGAUCAGAAUGUUGAGCUGGUAAUGCAGAGACACGAAUGUCCUUGGCUUGUUCCAAGGCUGGAAGGAAGUCUAGAGCCUAUGGAUCGAAAGACUGUAGGAGCUGAGGUCACAGAGGUAGAGGCCAGAUCCUGCAGGACUUAAGUUGGUUUACAUGUAGAGUUUAGUUUCUUUUCUAGCAGUCCGUAACUGUUGGAGGGAUUUUAGCUAGGGAGUGAUUUGUUGAAUGAAUAUUAAAACUAUGGUUGCUUUUCUAUCUACUAGGCACUUUGUAAAUGUUAGCCUUUAAUUCUCAUAAUAAACUUAGCAUUUGCAUUUUUUGAUGGUGCUUAAAAGUUUAAAUGCAUUCCCACAGAAGCACACAGAUAGUAAGCAAAAAUUCCAACUCCAAUCUUUGGGAUAAAUCCAUGUAGUUUCCUUUAUGUUAUACUGAGAAGUAAUAAUUGUGGGAAGCCCACUUGUUUAUAGUUUUUAUAACUUCCCCAUUUGACUUUAGAGCUCAUCUUUAUUCACCUCUUUUAUUUUUAGAUGUAGAAAAAUAUAUGAAAUUGGAGGGUUGGGGAGGUUCUUUUUAAGUUAGUUGAGCACCUAUACGAUAACCUUUGAAUCUUGACCACAGCUUAAAAGGUGUUCAUCAGCAGUUAUAUUUUAAAUUUAUUUUCAGAAAAGGGCUAAGAUAUUGGAAAAACUAAAAUUACUAUUGUAGUAUAAGGUAAUAUAAAGAGCGAAGCAUGUUUUAUUCUAUGUUGGAAUAGUUAGUCUUUUUCUUUAGGUUUUUUGUGGGAGGGGGUUGCUCUUUUUGAGAGCCACACCCACGACAUGUGGAGGGUCCCAGGCUAGGGGUCUAAUCGGAGCUGUUGCUGCUGACCUGCACCACAGCCACAGCAAUGCAAGAUCCAAGCCGAGUCUUUGACCUACACCACAGCUCAUGGCAAUGCAGGAUCCUUAACCCACUGAGUGAGGCCAGGGAUCAAACCUGAAGCCUCAUGGUUCCUAGUCGGAUUCGUUUCCCCUGCGCCACAACGGGAACUCCUUCUUUAGGUUUUUUAAGUUACUUAAUAUUUAUUUUAAUUGCUAGAGCUUGGAUUAUGUUGAAAUAUUAUUCUUAACUGAUAAUUAACUUGUUGACUAGGUUCAGGAGCACAUGUUAGUUUCAUUUUUAGUGAGAAAUUGAGAAAGGGCCAUUCCCUGUUUUGCUAGAAGUCAGCAGAUGCGAAUGCCUCUUUCUGCGAUCGGUAACAGAAUUGUUGAAUUUUUAGGUGCUAAAUAAGUGCAGAGAGAAUUGCCCUUAUUCUUUCAGCAAAUCCUUAUUGCAGGCCUGUAGCGUGCAAGACAUUGUGGAGUGUCUGGAAAUAACUGGGAUGUGGUACCUGCCCCUACUCUCUGGGCCUGCCCCAUGAUGGACAUAGCAGAUGCUCAGUAAGAAAAACCUCUGAAUAAAAACAUCAUGAGUACAGGGGGGAGGUGAUAAGAUGUACAAAACAUAGAUAUAAUGGAACACUGGAGUCAAAUACAUCUAGUUACAGUGGUAAUUUAGAUAGAACAGAGGAGUUACUUCUGUAUGCCAAGAUACAGGACAGAGUUUCUCCACCUUGGCACUAUUGACAUUUUGGGCCAGAUAAUUCUUUGUUAUGGGGCUAUUCUGUGCACUGCACUGUGUUUAGCAGCAACCUUAGGCUCUAAUUCCCCCUCCAAGUUGUGAUAAGUGUCUCCAAAUACAGCCAAAUGUCCCUUGGGGAGCAUGUUUGCCUCUGAAUGAACCACUGCUCUUGGGGAUGUCUUUUAAGGGAACAGGGAGGAGGGAGACCUUACCUGGCAUAAGGAACAAAAUGGGGGUGAACUCAAGCGUGGGAGCAUUUAUCAGGAAAAAUUCAUUUGAUGUGAUAUAAGGGGGGUGGUGUGUAAAGUAGGCUGAUAUGAAAUGAUGCUGGAUAGGAGUGUGUUGCAUGCACACUUCAGCGUUGGAGUUUUAUUUGGGAGAGAGUGGGAACCUAUUAAGUUGUUGAGCAGAAGCGAGACAAGAUCAGAGCCUUGCGUUUUAGGAAGAUGAACCUGGCGGUUAUGUGUGUGUGACCUGAAUGAGGAUGAAGGAAAGAAGUAAUUCUGGACCAGAGAAGUGAUGAAAUCUGUGACCAUUAGAGUGUCGAGCAGGAGUUAGCAGUAAACUGCAUAUGAGGAAAAGAAAUGAAAGGUGACUACUGUUUAAACUUGAGAGAGGGACAGUGGUAGUGCCUUUAAAGAAAUUGAGAUUACUCAAGGAGAAACAAGUUAUAGAGGAAUAUGACAAAUUUCAUUUUCUAGCUUUGAGUUUCAGUUAACUGAUGUCAGAGGCCAUUCUGAAAUAAGGUUCAUUUUUGGUUCUUUCUGAAUGGUACACCAGAUUUCUAUAAAAAUACCUUUAAAUAGGAGUUCCCGUCGUGGCUCAGUGGUUAACGAGUCUGACUAGGAACUGUGAGGUUGUGGGUUCAAUCCCUGGCCUUGCUCAGUGGGUUAAGGAUC
rnacentral:lncRNA from 1 species